CCUACGGGGGGCAGCAGUGAGGAAUAUUGGUCAAUGGGCGUAAGCCUGAACCAGCCAAGUCGCGUGAGGGAUGAAGGUUCUAUGGAUCGUAAACCUCUUUUAUAAGGGAAUAAAUUGCGGGACGUGUCCCGUUUUGUAUGUACCUUAUGAAUAAUGAUCGGCUAACUCCGUGCCAGCAGCCGCGGUAAUACGGAGGAUCCGAGCGUUAUCCGGAUUUAUUGGGUUUAAAGGGUGCGUAGGCGGCCUUUUAAGUCAGCGGUGAAAGCCUGUGGCUCAACCAUAGAAUUGCCGUUGAUACUGGUAGGCUUGAGUAUGUUUGAGGCAGGCGGAAUGCGUGGUGUAGCGGUGAAAUGCUUAGAUAUCACGCAGAACCCCGAUUGCGAAGGCAGCCUGCCAAGCCAUGACUGACGCUGAUGCACGAAAGCGUGGGGAUCAAACAGGAUUAGAUACCCUAGUAGUC
rnacentral:rRNA from 1 species